rnacentral:rRNA from 1 species
UCCGUAGGCGGAUUAAUAAGUCAGGGGUGAAAUCCAACAGCUUAACUGUUGAACUGCCUUUGAUACUGUUAGUCUUGAGUUAUAUGGAAGUAGAUAGAAUAUGUAGUGUAGCGGUGAAAUGCUUAGAGAUUACAUAGAAUACCGAUUGCGAAGGCAGUCUACUACGUAUAUACUGACGCUAAUGGACGAAAGCGUGGGGAGCGAACAGGAUUAGAUACCCUGGUAGUCC